rnacentral:rRNA from 1 species
AUGCUUACCGAGAAGAUAUAUGGGUUGCAAAAUUUGCGCACUCUCAUUGAUGGCAUGAUAUUUGUCAAAUCAGACGAGCACAAAGCCUUCAAGAGUAUGUUUGCUAUGUUCAUGAGGCUGAAGAAAUUGAGGGUACUGAAAUUAUGUGUCAUGCCUUAUAAACACAAAUUCUCAUUCCCAGAUUCUAUUGGUGAUUUGAAGCAUCUGCGUUAUUUUGCUUUCUCGGUGUAUGCACGUGUCAAGCUAACUAUACCAGGCACCUUUACCAAGCUUUACCACAUGCAGGUGAUAGAUUUUGGUUUUUGUGGUAGUUUGGCGUCUUCUAGUGGUGAAGAUAUGGUGAACCUAGUUAACUUGCGCCAUGUAAUCAGCAGGGCAGAUCAGGAAUUUCCAAACGUUGGCAGUUUGAUAUGGCUCCAAACGCUACCAUUCUUCAGAAUAAGGAGGGCACGGGGGUAUGAGCCACAUCAGCUGAAGCACCUAAACAAGCUUCAAGGCACGCUGUUGAUUUGUGGUCUUGAGAAUGUUGAGAGCAAGGAGGAGGCUGUUAAAGUCAAUCUUGCUAAUAAGGAAAAACUCACAGAACUGAUACUUCAAUGGGAUAAUGAGAGCUGCAGUCCAGAAGUUCAAGCAGAGGUUCUUGAGGGUCUUUGUCCAUCGAAGUAUCUUGAAAGACUAGAUAUCUCCGGGUACCACGGUAUAAGGUUACCGAACUGGAUGAUGGGUAACCAUAAUGGCGGCCCAAAGAACCUGCAAGAACUUAUAUUCAGUGGAUGGAACCAGCUAGGACCUGCUCCUGACCUUGGGGCUUUCAUUCAUCUUCGUUCUCUACAUGUUUCUAGCUGCAGCUGGGAUGCCUUACCAGGCAAUAUGGAGCACCUCACAGCACUCAAGAGACUGGAUAUAAAGUCAUGCAAGAAUAUACGGGAGCUUCUAACACUGCCCAAGUCUCUUGAGGAGUUUAACAUCAUGAACUGUAGCAGAAAUGCCUUACGAGGAAAUAUGGAGCACCUCACAUCGCUCAAGAAAUUUGUGAUCUGGAAUUGCAAGAAUAUGCGGUCGCCCCCAACACUGCCCAAGUCUCUUGACGAGUUUAAAGUCGUGCGCUGCAGCUUCAAUGCCUUGCCAGGCAAUAUUGAGCACAUCACAUCACUCAGGAGACUGGAUAUACAGUCAUGCGAGAACAUGCGGUCGCUUCCAACACUGCCCAAGUCUCUUGAGGAGUUUAUCGUCUUAGGCUGCAGCUUGGAUGCCUUGCCAAGCAAUAUGGAACACCAUACAGCACUCAAGAAACUGAGUAUCACUAUCUGCAAGAAUAUACAGUUGCUUCCAACACUGCCCAAGUCUCUUGAGAGGUUUAUCGUUGUGGACUGA